rnacentral:rRNA from 1 species
CCACGGGUAUUUGCCCUAGUAACGGCGAGUGAAGCGGCAACAGCUCAAAUUUGAAAGCUAGCCUUCGGGUUCGCAUUGUAAUUUGUAGAGGAUGCUUUGGGUAAAACGCCAGUCUAAGUUCCUUGGAACAGGACGUCAUAGAGGGUGAGAAUCCCGUAUGUGACUGGAAAUGUUAACCUAUGUAAAGCUCCUUCGACGAGUCGAGUUGUUUGGGAAUGCAGCUCUAAAUGGGAGGUAAAUUUCUUCUAAAGCUAAAUAUUGGCGAGAGACCGAUAGCGCACAAGUAGAGUGAUCGAAAGAUGAAAAGCACUUUGGAAAGAGAGUUAAAAAGCACGUGAAAUUGUUGAAAGGGAAGCGCUUGCAAUCAGACUUGUUUAAACUGUUCGGCCGGUCUUCUGACCGGUUUACUCAGUUUGGACAGGCCAGCAUCAGUUUCGGCGGCCGGAUAAAGGCUCUGGGAAUGUGGCCUCCACUUCGGUGGAGGUGUUAUAGCCCAGUGUGUAAUACGGCCAGCCGGGACUGAGGUCCGCGCUUCGGCUAGGAUGCUGGCGUAAUGGUUGUAAGCGACCCGUCUUGAAACACGGGACCCAAA